rnacentral:lncRNA from 1 species
CUGGUACCAAAAAAAGAAAGAAAAAGAAAGAGUAAGGGGUUAAUUCCACAAUUCAAGUCCCUGAGAACAAUAUUUAAGAAUAUGAUCACCUGGAUGACCCCAUAUGCUUGGGUCUUUAUAGAAUUAACAGAAUUCUAUAGAAUUAGUUUUUUUUUUUUAACUUGACAAGAACAUGAGAUAAGGAGAAGCUGCAUACACAAAUACUGAAUGAAAUUACUAAAGGGAAAGCAAUUCAGUCCAUUAGUGAAGGAAACUAAAAGAUCACAAAAUGCAAUAUUCAAUGUGAUCCUCUUUACUUACAAAUGUAUAAUAUAAAGUGUAACACACUCAUAUAAAUGUAGCACACACUAACAAAAGAAAGUCUGAAAUUCAAUACCACAAUAUAUCAAUGGUGCUUAGGAUGGAACAUGAUUUUCUUUUCUUUUUGAUUAUCUGUAGUUUCUGGGAUUUAUUAUAUAUAUGUGUGUAGAAUUUUUGAAGUGUUAUGAUUAUGUUUAGAUAAUUAGAAAAAGUCUGAUGAAGCAUCACACACACGCGCACACUCAUAGACACAUAUGGGCCUAUACUGUGUAUAGCUCUAGUGAGACAACCUUGUAUGGAUCAGUACUUACUGUCUGCCUGCUUCGGUGAACCCUGAGAUCCUAGGGAUCAGGGACAGGGUCCUUCUGGAUACUCGAUCUCUAAGAAAAGGAAAGAGGUUGAAAUUCAGGUGUAUGUGUAUUAUCACUUAAUAUAAUGACCCUGUAGUUAUUAUUACCCCCACUUUACAGAAGAGCAACUGAAGCUGAGAGAUAUUAAGAUACCUAGAUAAGUGAGAGAGCCCAAGUUCAAAGGCACAUGUGUCUAAUCUCCAACCGAUGAUAGUGUCAAAUGUUGAGACCUGUUAAAUGAAAGAAAGAUAGAGAGAGAAAAGCCAUGCAGACCUGGGAAAUGUUUGAGGUUUAAAUGUAAAGCAGAUAAUAUAAUAAUAUAAUAAUAAUGUAAAGCUAGUAAUAUAAAAUGUAUCAUGCAUACAUUAUAUAAUGUAUAAAAUAUACAUUAAAGCAUUAAAAUAUGUACAGAAAAAUGUACAACAUGAACAAAAAAGUUCUUUUUUGUGGCAUAUUCAGGUGGCAGCUGAAUUACUAACAAUUAAGAAAGUUUUAGGAGGCAGGCAUGCCUCCACUGAGCUAAAUCCCCAGCCCCAAGUGUUCCAAUUGUUUUCUUUUUGUGUGUGUUCUAAUUUUUAAUGAAAG